GCUUACGGCCAUACCACCCUGAGCGCGCCCGAUCUCGUCUGAUCUCGGAAGCUGAGCAGGGUCGGGCCUGGUUAGUACUUGGGUGGGAGACCGCCUGGGAAUACCAGGUGCUGUAAGCU
rnacentral:rRNA from 1 species